AAUGCGUUUCUGUUUUCUUUCUCAUUAUGCUAACAAACGCUCUUUUAUCCCUCAUGUUAGGUGGAUCAACACUCCAACCAUCUGCAUUAGGGACUGAAUAAAGGAUGCCCUCUGUAGCUGGGAAUGUUAGAUCAGGCGGAUCAACAUUCCAUCCAUCUGCAUUAGGAUCUACCUUAGAGACACUCACUGGAGCUGUAAAGGGAAGCAGGUCACUUACUUUUCAUUCGUCCUUGGUGGUCACCCCAGGGUCUCUAGAGUGAAAAUUACUCAAUCUAUGGAUUAAACAGAAAAUGUAGUUUUAUGAAGUGCAAUUUGGGACAUUCUUCCAGUUGUCGGUAACUUUUUGAAAAAGGCUGGAAACUAAAAUGC